UACGAAGGGGGCUAGCGUUGCUCGGAAUCACUGGGCGUAAAGCGCACGUAGGCGGAUUGUUAAGUCAGGGGUGAAAUCCUGGAGCUCAACUCCAGAACUGCCUUUGAUACUGGCGAUCUUGAGUCCGGGAGAGGUGAGUGGAACUGCGAGUGUAGAGGUGAAAUUCGUAGAUAUUCGCAAGAACACCAGUGGCGAAGGCGGCUCACUGGCCCGGUACUUACGCUGAGGUGCGAAAGCGUGGGGAGCAAACAGG
rnacentral:rRNA from 1 species